rnacentral:rRNA from 1 species
GACGAACGCUGACGGAGUGCUUAACACAUGCAAGUCGAAGGAAGUGGCGAACGGGUGAGUAACACGUGAGUAACCUGCACUUUUCUUUGGGAUCAGCCUGGGAAACUGGGUCUAAUACUAGAUGGAUUGGGAUGGGCUCUUGGCUUAUCAGCUUGUUGGUGGGGUGAUGGCGUACCAAGGCUUUGACGGGUAGCCGGCCUGAUAGGGGGGUCUGGCACACUGGGACUGAGAUACGGCCCAGACUCCUACGGGAGGCAGCAGUGGGGGAGAUGGCACAAUGGACGAAAGUCGGAUGCAGCGACGUCGUGGGGGGGAUGAAGGCCUUCGGGGUGUAAACUCCUUUCGCCAGAGGAAUGGUAGUGUGUAAAGAAGCGCCGGCUAACUACGUGCCAGCAGCCGCGGUAAUAC